rnacentral:sRNA from 1 species
AUAAAACACUUCAAAUAAUUAUAACAUCCAUGUUUGUUGGAAUAAUAUGCGAGGGCUUACUCUGUGGAGUUUAGUGGAACUACGUUGUCAAACUUGCAAGGAAUUGACCGUGUAACUGCAUUGGAUGCAAGCACAUGAUGGCAUCCCACAAGCAUUUGUGAAAACUUUGAUUAUGGCCGCCCACACCACUGUCGAUCGAUUUUCUGUCGGAUAAGUAAAAGAAAAAAAAGGAUGCUUCUACUUAAUUGUUCUGUUUAAGGAUCAUCAUCAACGAUUAGAGAACAACCUUUGGUCAAACACAGUUACGUGUCGAGAAAUCAAGGAAGAUGCAUUUAUUAAGACAUGUUACAACGUUUGAGCGAAGAAAGAGAGAAAGAACAGAAAAAAGCACAUGCAUCCUGUUAUUUUUCCUGGUUUUAUC